rnacentral:rRNA from 1 species
CCUACGGGACGCAGCAGUGGGGAAUCUUGCACAAUGGGGGAAACCCUGAUGCAGCAACGCCGCGUGAAGGAAGACGGUUUUCGGAUUGUAAACUUCUGUUCUUAGUGAAGAAGACUGACGGUAGCUAAGGAGCAAGCCACGGCUAACUACGUGCCAGCAGCCGCGGUAAUACGUAGGUGGCAAGCGUUGUCCGGAAUUACUGGGUGUAAAGGGAGCGGAGGCGGGAAGCCAAGUCAGCUGUGAAAACUACGGGCUUAACUUGUAGACUGCAGUUGAAACUGGUUUGCGUGAGUGAAGGAGAGGUGGGCGGAAUUCCGAGUGUAGCGGUGAAAGGCGUAGAUAUUAGGAGGAACACCGGUGGCGAAGGCGGCCAACUGGGCUUUAACUGACGCUGAGGCUCGAAAGUGUGGGGAGCAAACAGGAUUAGAUACCCCUGUAGUC